rnacentral:rRNA from 1 species
CCUACGGUGGGCAGCAGUGAGGAAUAUUGGUCAAUGGGCGUAAGCCUGAACCAGCCAAGUCGCGUGAGGGAUGAAGGUUCUAUGGAUCGUAAACCUCUUUUAUAAGGGAAUAAAGUGCGGGAUGUGUCCCGUUUUGUAUGUACCUUAUGAAUAAGGAUCGGCGAACUCCGGGCCAGCAGCCGCGGUAAUACGGAGGAUCCGAGCGUUAUCCGGAUUUAUUGGGUUUAAAGGGUACGUCGGCGGCGUGUUAAGUCAGCGGUGAAAGUCUGUGGCGCAACCAUAGAAUUGCCGUUGAUACUGGGAGGCUUGAGUAUGUUUGAGGCAGGCGGAAUGCGUGGUGUAGCGGUGAAAUGCUUAGAGAUCACGCAGAACCCCGAUUGCGAAGGCAGCCUGCCAAGCCAUGACUGACGCUGAGGCACGAAAGCGUGGGGAUCAAACAGGAUUAGAUACCCCUGUAGUC